rnacentral:lncRNA from 1 species
CUACUUAAAAAAAGCUCGCAUGUACUGCUAUGAAUCAAUAAUUAGUUGAAGGUUUCAGGUCAUUAGUGCUUUAACCAAUUAACACACUUCUUAAAUCUGUGGUCAUUAGGUUUCCAAGGUCAGAGUAGUGUGGAAGCUGUGUUUUGUAAAUGAGAGGUGUUCGAUCUUUAUGAGAUUAGAAGGGAGAUUGGAUUUAAAGAAUAUUCUAGUUUCAUGUUGGCUACUGGGGAAAGCGGUUCGAUCAAGAAUUUAAGUCUCCAAGGAAGCUCCCAAGUUUACCAUCAGAUCCUUGUUUUACGUCUGGAGAUAAAGAGUCGCUCUGUGCAGGGACACAUCUUAUUGUCUCAGGCAAUGAGAUUGAUGGUCUUAUUGUUUGGAGGUAUGAAUUGGUAAAGAACAAAUGGUACAAGCGUCCAUCUAUGAAUUCUUGGGAGCUCAUACCAGACCCGUUGAAAGAUGAUCCUGUACAAUUGUCCCAUUCACCGUCUCUUGUUGCUGUUAUAAAUAUUGAGUUAUACUCACUUGAAGCUUCUUCAAACCAGCUGAAGCCUGAAGAUGUACUUGAACAAGACAAAUAAAUAGAAAAAUUUGGGCCAGUAAUAGUUCCAGUAAGAGCUGAUGGCAGCAGAGGUUGGGGUGUCGCAUUCAAGUCAAAUAAAUGGAAACAUGAGGAUUGCAGUGUUACCCGGAUGCAUUCAUGAGGAUUCGAGUCCCGUCAACUUUACUUUGGGAAAAGAGAGCUUGGGGGGGGGGGGGGGAGGGCACCCUAACAAACUGACACUCAAAAGCAAGAAAAUUUGCUCAACUGGACAAUUAAAGGAUAGCCUGAGGGAAGCUUUUAAUGAUAAAAAGCUAGUAAUUCACAGAAAUGAACAGCACCCAUCCUAUUGGAGAGAUGACCUGAAGCUCCUUUCUCGUCAGCAGCACCACGAUGCUCGUGUGAUGUGAACAACAACAAAUGAUUUUCUAUCACUGAUAGCUAGCGUAUAAAGAUGAAGAGGAAAUUUGAUUCAAGACAACUUGCAAUUGAAUUUUUAUUUUUAUUUUCUUUUUGGGAGAAAUGCUAGUCGAAUCAAUUAGAAAACAAAGCAAUAUCAUUUCUUGGUUUCUUCAAUAAUUAGAAAUAUAGAUUAGAAAGAAAUCGCCCUGAAUAGAGGGGAAAAUGAACAACAAUCUUGAUAUACGUAUAAGAU